UACGAAGGGAGCGAGUGUUAUCCCAAAUUAUUGGGCGUAAAGGGUUCGUAGGCGGUAAUUGUAGUCAUAUGUGAAAUCUUAAAAUAAUAUUUUAAACAUGCGUAUGAUACCCUUUUACUAGAGUAUAUCAGAGGAUGACAGAAUUUUAUAGGGAAAGGUGAAAUUUAUUGAUCUAUAAAGGAAUGCCAUAGGCGAAAGCGGUUGUCUGGGAUACAUACUGACGUUGAGGAACGAAAGCAUGGGGAGCAAACAGG
rnacentral:rRNA from 1 species